rnacentral:rRNA from 1 species
UGGGGAAUAUUGGACAAUGGGGGCAACCCUGAUCCAGCCAUGCCGCGUGUGUGAAGAAGGCCUUUUGGUUGUAAAGCACUUUAAGCAGGGAGGAGAGGCUAAUGGUUAAUACCCAUUAGAUUAGACGUUACCUGCAGAAUAAGCACCGGCUAACUCUGUGCCAGCAGCCGCGGUAAAUACAGAGGGUGCGAGCGUUAAAUCGGAAUUACUGGGCGUAAAGCGAGUGUAGGUGGCUCAUUAAGUCACAUGUGAAAUCCCCGGGCUUAACCUGGGAACUGCAUGUGAUACUGGUGGUGCUAGAGUAUGUGAGAGGGGAAGUAGAAUUCCAGGUGUAGCGGUGAAAUGCGUAGAGAUCUGGAGGAAUACCGAUGGCGAAGGCAGCUUCCUGGGCACAAUAUUGACACUGAGAUUCGAAAGCGUGGGUAGCAAACAGGAUUAGAUACCCUGGUAGUCCACGCCGUAAACGAUGUCUACUA